rnacentral:lncRNA from 1 species
AGCCCGAGCUCGAGCCCGAGCAGCUCACGAGCCCAGACGAGCUCUAGUCUCCCACUGAAAAAUUUUAUUUCAGCACUAUAAUUCAUAAAAAUCUGACCACAUAGAGAAAAAUAGCCUGUUAUCAAGCCCGAGCCCGAGCUCGAGCCCGAUUACGAGCCCGAGCUCGAGCUCGUUCUAGAACUUGUAAUUGAAACGAGCUUUACGAGCUCAAGCCCGAGCCUUUGCUUUGCCAAGCGAGCCCGAGCUCGAGCCCAAUAUAGAGCUCGUUACCGAGCUCGAGCCCGAGCCCGAGCCCGAGCUUCUGUGAAACGAGCCGAGCCGAGCUCUCCC